rnacentral:lncRNA from 1 species
GAAAUCCAAAAGAUCCAAACUUUUUUUAAACUUAAAAAAUCUCUUUGUAGUAUGUCAGUUGCACUUUUUUUCUGCCAUAAUGUAACGUAGCUUGCCCCGUCAAAAAUUCAAUUAAAAUUCAUGGCCAGCAAUCCUGUUCCCCCUCAGCAUCCUGAUUUAAUUUUCCUGUUGCUUUUGCUUGCUUCUCCAUUUAAUAGUUACUGAACUUUAUGCAUGUUGAUCUAUAUUGAUUUUCACUGCAGUUGAAUGAACAAAUUAUUUCAGUGUGACAGCCAUGACUCAAGUUCCAAUUAGUCUGAAAAGGGUACUUUGGAAUUGUCCCAUAUUAAUCAGAGAUGGCAAAAGAAAAAGUUCUCAUAUUACCAGGUUGAUUUUGUGUCUCAUUUCAAAUUUUAAUUUAAAAUUAUGGUUUUCAUUUUUGUUUACCUUAAAGUGAUGCUUAAAAGUGGCAUGUAAUUAGGACACUUAGGUUUGUUGAAAGCAUUUUCGACAUUUGUAUAAAAGAAUUUGUGAUAAAUAUAUCCAGGUGCUCACCAAAGAAACAUGUAUUAACAACUUAAAUUAGAUUUUUCUAACUGAUAGUUUUCACUCAUUUAUAAUCAGUAGGAGAGACUGUCUAGAUGUUGGGGCAGCUCUAUGAUUUAAGUCUGUAACAUGUUAUAACUGAAUUUAGUACCCUAGUUUUGUUAAGCUAUUAGGAUUUUCUAAUAGAACUUACUCCCCCUGCCUCCCCAGCCUUAUGUUUCUUUUAAUGACUUCUGGAUCCUGAGCUCCCUUUGCAGUCUGAAAAAGGUAUUGCAGUCAGAACUGUGUACUGAUGAUAAAAGCCUCUGGUAGCAAUAAAAAGUUGUCCUUAACUUUUGUUUUUCAGUUGUAUGAAAGCUUGUAUAUAGAUUCAUUUAUUCCUGUAUCUUCUCAAUUGUUUCUUUCUUGUAUUUGCCCUUUUUCUUUCCUACUUGGCAAGAUUUGGCUUUCUGUUCAUGGAUCUUUUUAUGGUCUUUGUCCACUUUUAGCCUAGUGAUAACCACUUUGCUGGGGUGAAUGCCUACACGGACAGUUGUACCAUUAGCCUUUUGCUGCUGCACCCAUUCAGUGUAGAUGACAUCUUUCUUCCUGUAAACCUUGAGUACGUGGCCAAUUUGCUGACCUUUACAAUGUCCUUGCACAGUCUGAACAUCAUCCUUCCGGAUGGUCAUGGAUCAAACGUCGUACUUCUGUCUUAGCUCUUUGGAAACGGGGGAAGACAUAAUCUUCUUCCAAAUGUGUGAAAGCGCAUUGAAAUGCCUUUUGCAGUUCUUGCUUCGGUC